rnacentral:rRNA from 1 species
GGGUUGUAAACUGCUUUUAUAUAGGAAGAAACCCCCGAACGUGUUCGGGGCUGACGGUACUAUAAGAAUAAGGACCGGCUAACUCCGUGCCAGCAGCCGCGGUAAUACGGAGGGUCCAAGCGUUAUCCGGAUUUAUUGGGUUUAAAGGGUACGUAGGCGGAGUUUUAAGUCAGUAGUGAAAGCCCAUCGCUUAACGAUGGAACUGCUAUUGAUACUGAUACUCUUGAAUAUAGUUGAAGUGGGCGGAAUACGGCAUGUAGCGGUGAAAUGCAUAGAUAUGCCGUGGAACACCAAUCGCGAAGGCAGCUCACUAAGCUAUUAUUGACGCUAAUGUACGAAAGCGUGGGUAGCGAACAGGAUUAGAUACCCUGGUAGUCCACGCCGUAAACGAUGAUUACUCGGUGCUGGCGAUAUACAGUCAGUGCCUAAGCGAAAGUGAUAAGUAAUCCACCUGGGGAGUACGAUCGCAAGGUUGAAACUCAAAGGAAUUGACGGGGGCCCGCACAAGCGGUGGAGCAUGUGGUUUAAUUCGAUGAUACGCGAGGAACCUUACCUGGGCUUAAAUGCAUAAUGACAGACUGGGAAACCAGUUUUUCUUCGGACAGAAUGCAAGGUGCUGCAUGGCUGUCGUCAGCUCGUGCUGUGAGGUGUCGGGUUAAGUCCCAUAACGAGCGCAACCCCUAUUUCUAGUUGCCAGCACAUAAUGGUGGGGACUCUAGAGAAACUGCCCGCGCAAGCGGUGAGGAAGGUGGGGACGACGUCAAGUCAUCACGGCCCUUACGUCCAGGGCUACACACGUGCUACAAUGGUAGGGACAGAGGGCAGCCACUCGGUGACGAGGAGCUAAUCCUAAAACCCUAUCUCAGUUCGGAUUGAAGUCUGCAACUCGACUUCAUGAAGCUGGAAUCGCUAGUAAUCGGAUAUCAGCCACGAUCCGGUGAAUACGUUCCCGGGCCUUGUACACACCGCCCGUCAAGCCAUGGAAGCUGAGGGUGCCUGAAGUCGGUAACCGCAAGGAGCCGCCUAGGGUAAAAUCGGUAACUGGGGCUAAGUCGUAACAAGGUAGCCGUACCGGAAGGUGCGGCUG